GAUGAACGCUAGCUACAGGCUUAACACAUGCAAGUCGAGGGCAGCAUGAACUUAGCUUUGCUAAGUUUGAUGGCGACCGGCGCACGGGUGAGUAACACGUAUCCAACCUUCCGUUUACUCAGGGAUAGCCUUUCGAAAGAAAGAUUAAAUACCUGAUAGUAUGGUGAGAUUGCAUGAUAGCACCAUUAAAGAUUUAUGGUAAACGAUGGGGAUGCGUUCCAUUAGGUAGUAGGCGGGGUAACGGCCCGACCUAGCCGACGAUGGAUAGGGGUUCUGAGAGGAAGGUCCCCCANAUUGGAACUGAGACAC
rnacentral:rRNA from 1 species